GUUUGCUUUGGCACUACAUAUGCUAAAAUUGGAAUGUACAAAGAAGUUUAGCAUGGCUUCUAUGCACGGAUAACAAGCAGAUUCGGAAACAUUCCAUAUAUUU